UGACGCGCGUGGCGGCGCCCGCGCACGCCACCUCCGCGCCCUCCAAUGCCCUCCCGAACGCCCGCCCAGUCACCGAGAACUGCCUCAUGAUGGACGACCUCAACAACGGCCCGGCCACGCUGCGCGACAUCGACGACCUGUUGUUCGCGGACCACACGCCCACCGAGGAGACGCACCUCCUGGACCGCUCGCUCUCCAUCCCUCACAACGCCUCCGCCCUCAACACCUAGCUGUUGCUUCGCCUUCGUGGAAGGACGCCCCGGCCUUCCAACGAGAGGGCUGGAAAGAGACGCGAGACGAAGUGGAGGAUUGAUUUCGGUCAUCCAUCCACUCACCCCGCGAUGCUGCAGACAAUUCACGAGGGGGAAUCACCAUCAAGCACCUGAACGCGAGCGAAGACAAGGCCUCUGAUCCGCCAAACGCCAAAGGUUCGCCAAACAGGAACGCGUUUUCGCGCGAGGAACCCGCCACACGAGGCGUCGUCGCCGGGGCAAGUUUCUCCAAGACCCUGAGGCGUUUCUCUUCAUGCGGGAGCGAGAUUGGCUUCUUCCUAGCAAUAAAAUCACUAAAUACUUAAAUAAUUGCUCAUCUCGUUGUUGAAAAAGGUUCGAACUUUUUUUUUGAUUGAUGUAUGUAAUUGAUUAUUUAGUAUAUCCCAGAAAACAAGCCACGAGAAAGCGGACAAAACUAAUGUUGAGCUUUCAGAGGAGAGUCGGCCAACUGCCCCUCCCUCUCACAGGCCCAGAGGAUGGCGUCGUUUGGGAAUCAGCAGUAAGCUCUGUGCAAACAAACCGUCUGUUUCAAAAUAUUACAGUUAUUAAUACAAACAGUUAGGAAACCAAGCCUUAUAAACCAGCGAGUGGGCAGUUGUCUUUGGUAGGUCUGCCCGACACCAACAGUAUUGCAGUUAAAGUAAGUUGAAAUGGCCCUCGGAUCGCUCUGGAGGGGGGUUCUCGGGGUCCCUCCAGUACGAAAGAAAAGAAGCGAAAUAUCAAAGUACCUCUUAGCAAUGAUAAAGAUAAAAAAUGCUUUUGUAACAAAAUUUAUUCCCCUUAUCUUGUCAAGACUUCGUCCAUUGCGUCCCUUUUAUGGGUGUUUUUGUACCGAAGCUUAAAAAAAAUUGGCACAAACUAAUUCGGAAUUUUGGGGGUUAAAAAGCUAUAUAAAAAGUAAAAUAAUCUCUGUGGAGCCGCUUGCGAUACCGAUGGUCACUUGUAGGUCCUAGUCAAAAGUUGUUACAUGUAGUACCGUAGAGGCGACGCCACCGUGAUAAAAAUCUAGAAAUUACCAGCUUUGUGCGCCUACAAGCCAUUCCGCCAGUCAGCCAAGCAGCCAGCCAGCCAGCGCCUAGCCUUCCGUGUCUGUAAAACUCCGCUAUUCGCACCAAGAAAUAGACAGCAUGGCUAUCGCAUGGAGCGCCCGCCAUAAGGUUUUGCGCCGCCAGAAAAGGGGGAAAUACUCACCUCGACUUCGUUGGAUGAUAAAAAAAAAUACUCAAGAUUAAACUAGACUCGUAUCGGCAGCCCGGUAACAGAUAACAAGGAAAUAUUGUCGAUAAAAACAAUAUAUAUCAAGCAAUUCCUAAAACAACACGUUAGAUCAAAAUAUUUUUCUUCGCUUUGCUUUCUCUCUCUUUCUGUUUGCCUUUCUGUCUGUUUAUCUAUCUGUCUAUCUACCUACCUGCCUACCUACCUAUCUUUAUAUCUAUCUAUCUGUCUAUCUAUCCAUCUAUGUCUAGCAGGCACCAUCUCUCCACCUCCUUCUAUGUUUCCUCACAUUAACUUCAGGAAAGGGAAGUCCCAUGCGAUAGCCAUACUGACGUCAGUCUUAGAGCAGACCAAAAAUAACACUUCGUUCCUCCGGUGCUUUAUAUAAACGAGCUAAAUAAGUGAAGAAAAAAAACGAUGUAGAAAACGAGUCACAGAACGUUUUUCCCUCAUUUGGUUACGAGUUGACCUUCCGCUGGUGAACUUGGGCCAAGUGGAAGACAAGAGCCAUGUGAACAGGAACAGCGGAGGACAACCAGUUCUUUUCCCUUAUGUAUUCCAGUGUGAGUUUAUUUUUCAAGAUAAAAAGAUAAAGACACAAGUGACAAGUGAAUGGAGAAUUGUGAUAUGGUUAAUAUUUUUUUAAUCUUAAGCUCAAGAUGUUACAAAAAAGAAGCGCUAAGCACUAUAGUCUGGCACUUCAUGGGGCAAGGAAAUUAGUUUAUUUCUCAAUUCAGUAUUCAGCACAAUUAAAUACUUGAUAAAGGCCAGGAUAGCCUUUUCCAUUGUUAUUCUUUAUUUAUUUGUCUUUUCAUGUGGAGAAUAAUCCACGGCUGUGUUCCUUGCCACAAAGUAUAUUUAAUUUCCUACACAUGUUCUUUGUUUAUCAUAUGUUAAGAAUUCUGAUAUUUAUGGUUUAAAUCUUGUUACUCUAUUGUAUGUAAGGGGAUUUUCUUUCAUUUUUGUAACAGUUGUCAAAAUUAUCUGUACAGAUUGUGAAAAUCGAAAGUUUAGGAAUUCUCAAAUAUGUUAUUAGAUAUUUUGUAUAUUGCCUGAUGACUUUUGAUGUAUCUAUUAUCUGUUGAACAAAUGCAUAUUCUUAUCAGUGUUACUGAUAAACGUUUAUGUCACACGUCAAAUGUGUGGAUACUGUACAAGCUCGAUCUUUCUCUUAAGUGUUUAAAACUUACGCAAUGCAAGUCUGCAUAAUAUUUACAUGAGGCGUUGUAAUAAACUGCCGUUGGACGUGCGUCAAUCAGCAAUUAUUUUCCGAUAUUAGAAGUGACUCGUGCAGAUUGUAACAGGCACUGUGUUAAGAGAGUGGUGUAUAGCCCGAAGGGUUACUUUAAUCUUUUUUAAUCCUAGGGAAAAAUAAAUUCUAUUUUAUUUCUUAAAUUUAUGUGGAUGAAACCCCGGUGAUGGUGGAAGCGCAAAGGUCAUGCCGGGACGCUGUCGAUUCCCGCUGCCUCAUUCAGCACGUGCGUGUGGGUGUGUGUCUGCGCGUUAUGCUCUGUGCGCAUGGGAGUGAGCGAGUCCCGGUCAGGCAGAAGGGCGAAUCCGCAGCGCCCCGGGAUCCUGAGCGACAAGGGAACACGCUGGCAUGGCAGCUCCCCGGGGUGACGGACCCUUGGCUCGCCGACGCCUCGAGCCCGGCAAAGGGUCCAGUCACAGCCGGAGACCGUCGCUCUAGGCUUCUCCUGCAAGUACCUGUUACGAAGAAAAAGCAAAAGAUUCUUGUUUCUGUACUUAGCGUUUCAUAUAUGUAUGUAUGAAUGUAUAUAUGUACGUAUGUCCGUAUGCAUGCAUGUAUAUAUCGGGAUGAGAGGAGAGUUUCCUGAGACGACGGAAGCUUCCUUGUCAGCAAAAUCCCCCCACAAAGCAUGACGUCAUCUAGGAUAACUGUAUUCAUUAAGUGUCUGAGUUUUUCAUUCAGGUCUUAUCACACUGUUAUGUAUCAUACACCGGCCAGAUGAUAAUGUUAUUAUAGACUUUCUUUGUCGCGUGAAUUACGAUCAAGAACCAAAUAUGUAUAAUUAAUAUUGCAUGGGUAUAUCUCCGGGCUACUGCUGAGGUGGUCGUCAUGGCAACGAGGUGCAACAAAGUGGUAGAUGGGUAGUCGUUGGUGAGCGCAAAAGAAGAAGGAGGAAGAGAGAAAAACGGCAGAUAGGGAGGGAAGCAGAGGAAGAGGCAAGGGGAGGAGGAGAAUAACUCUCGUUUUGGUUCUUCCUCUUUCUGCGCUUUCCUCCCCGUCGCCUCCUCUCCUUUCUUCCUUCUUCGCCGAUAGACUGUUACAAGUAUAUGUGUGGAUAUUUUUUUCUGAAAUGUUGCCUCGGUCAGUCCACGUCAGACUCCUUGUAGUCCAUCAGUUCUGCACUUAUACAUUCUUAAUAAUAUCCGGGUGGGUAGUAAAGUUGAGCCUCGAAUUGUUUGUUUCUUCAGAUGUUUAUAUAAAAGAUAAAACCAAUUUGAUGGUUGCUUAAGUGUAGUAAGUGUCCAUCAGCUGGCCAUGACGCUUGGCGAUCGUCCUUUGUCUCGGUCUUAUUUUUUUUUCUUCUCUUCUUAUUGCAAGAGAGAAAAAGAUGACGAUUUCCAUGCGUCACUGACUAUGUGAGAUGUCACGUGACUCCGAGGUGAGGUUUUCCCGCCCACCCUCUCGUUACAUCCAUCGUGUCAAAAACACAUUUCAUCUCUCACGCUCCAAUGACAUAAAUGUGCAUAUGCUCAAUAAGUUACUGUAUAUUGUGAAGAGUCCAAGUUUUUUCUCCCCUCCUCCCCUCCUCCCCUCACGCUCCCCCUUCUCCUUCCUCCGUGUAAUGUCCAGCGCGAUCAUAGUUGAAUCAUCAAUUGUUUCCCAAAAGCCUUGGUGUUGUGGACUAGCGUAGGGCUCACGACGCGGGCCUGCUGACUUGUCCCGAUCACCCGCCAUCGCCGCCAGGAAGGAACAGCAACAUCGGCCUCUUCGCAAACCCUCGCGAUGGUUCUGAAGGAAAAUGGCCUUCGUUUUCACCACUGUCGCACCAUGAGCUUCGUCGGGCCGCGUAACAGGAAUAAAAAAACGUAAACUGAUGACUAAUCUUUAUUGCCAGUCUAUAUUCAUUUGCUUCAUUACUUAUUCAAAAUCAUUAAAUCUACUGCGAUGAAGUUACUAUUAUGAGUUAAGCAAUAGCGCACAUUCGAUUGAAUCAAAUUAUUCUGAAAGUUUUUCUCAAGAAAAAUUAUUUAAACAAUCGGGUGCAGUAAAUACAGAAAGUAACCUCAAAAAGACCGCAGAAGUUGUAAUCAUUCAGCCUAACGCCCUAGCCUAAGACUUGCUGAAACGUAGCUAACUUCCUUUAGUCUCCCGUGAUGUUUACUUGAACUAGAGAAAACGACAACCCUAAAAAUCUCCCUUGAAAUUAAAGUAGUAAAUUAGUCCCCAGAUCAGCAGUAACGAAUGUCUUUAAAGAGACUAGAGAGUAAUGGUAAUCAAAUAUGCUAUUUUAAUUGGAAACUAAAAUGCACUUGAAGAUAUAGCACCAACUAAGCACGUCUACCAUAACAGAGUUGCACAACCGAUUCUUAUCUACCGAGUCCCUUCCUGCCCUCGCCAUCGUCGCAGCUCCCGGGAAUCUCUUUGGCCCUUUCUCUCGUCAGUUCCUUCCGCGCACUCCUCUCGGAACCCCACGCGUUUCCCUUCGGCCGAAACUGCCACUGCGAUGGCAUCAGACCCCACCUCCUGCCUUCUCCACUUUCUGCGAGCCGCCUUCGUGGCCGUGUCUUCUUCCAGGGAAUCCCAUGCGGUUCCCUGAGAGUCACUCCUCGGGGCGGUUGCAUACCUUUUCCUUGGGAUGUCAUCACCUCAUCUCAUCUUCAUCGACCUCUGGUGCUUCCUCCCCGGUAUAGUAAAGUAGUGAGAGCGGAGAAAGUUGCACAUCCAGGGCAUUUUGAUGGUUUUGCCAAAGUCGCUCGGAUCUGCAAGGUUCUGGCUCUUGGUCCGAUGCUUGUCGCCAGUGAAGUAGGAUUUAGGCUGUGUAGGACAUUGCGCAGACCUGAGCCAGCGGUUUUGAGCAAAGUUGGCAACGUUUGUCACCAAAUGUGUCUGAGUAUCUGGCUGGAAACUAGUUCAGUCAGUCAGCCAUAAUGGUUCGUUAGACUGGUAGAAGCCUGUGACUGCCAACAUACAUGUAUCUAGCACUGUUACGCCUUUUCGUAGAUUGUACCGGGGAGGUUCACAAAGCACAGAGAAUAAAAAUCAUUGUUUCUGGGCGUGUACCUGGUCCAGGUUCCCGUCUUCUUCACGUGGCUCAGUGGUGCCAACCCUCAUACUUGUGACGUCAUUUGGAACCACUGGAAACGAAUUCUGUAAUAGCAUUUAAGAAACCGUAUCAGAAAAAGAAAAAUAAUCUAUAACAUAAGCACAAGAAUAACAGCGAGCUUUCAUAAACACCCCAAUGCGGACACUGAUAACUUUCUUCCUUAAAUGCUGUUUAAGAAUAAGCCCAGGAGGUGAGCACGGUUGGCAGGCCUGUGAGUCACGAGCACUAUCCUGUAAUUUUGACAUACAUACUAUGCCCAUGUAAAUUCCUGAAGGACUUUUGGAUGAUAUCAUGAAUAAUCAUGUAUAAAACACAGCUAUGAUUUUUUUUAUAUAACCUAGAAACUUCUUUUUAUGAAUGACAUUCUAACAGCUGCAAGAACACCUGUUUGUGUACAUAUCAUUUGUGUUCAUCAGAUUUUUGUGUUCACAUGUUCCUAUGCUGUACUCAAUUCAUGAAGCUAUGAGGUUGCUAGUGGACUACACAAGUCUUAAAGGAUCUCUUUUAAUCAUAGAGAAUUUCACCUCCAUUUUCUGAUUGCAGAGCAUUCGCAUUGACCAAUAGCACACGAUGUUACAAUUUUGAAGUUGCUCUCUCCUUAUAGGUCCACUGCAGCUGCAUAACAAUUGUAUAUUGGAUAGUGAGCCAAGGCCUAUCGCAGUGGUUUAUCAAAUAUUUUACUUAUUUUCUAAAGUGUAGUACUACAGCACCAAGGAUUUCGCAAGCAACGAUUCUUAUGCCCUUCUUGAUCUACAUAGUGAGGCUACUUCCUCACAACUACUGAUAAAAUACAUGAGACAAAUUUCCUAUGCGAGUCAACAUGUACAUUAAAAAGUAAGGAUAAGUCUG